rnacentral:rRNA from 1 species
CGUGAGGGAAAGGUGAAAAGAACCCCGGGAGGGGAGUGAAAAAGAACCUGAAACCCUGUGCUUACAAGCAGAGAGAGCACGAUUAAGUGUGAUCUCGUACUUUUUGUAGAACGGACCGGCGAGUUACGUUAUGCAGCGAGGUUAAGAACUGAAGGUUUGGAGCCGAAGCGAAAGCGAGUCUGAAAAGGGCGAAGAGUUGCAUGACGUAGACCCGAAACCGGGUGACCUAUCCAUGGGCAGGUUGAAGUGGAAGUAAAAUUUCAUGGAGGACCGAACCAGACGUCUGUUGAAAAAGGCGGGGAUGACCUGUGGAUAGCGGAGAAAUUCCAAUCGAACCCGGAGAUAGCUGGUUCUCCUCGAAAUAGCUUUAGGGCUAGCCUCGCAUUAGUUUACCGGAGGUAGAGCACUGAAUGGUCUAGGGGGCCUCACCGCCUACCGAAACCUAUCAAACUGCGAAUGCCGGAUAAAUGAUGUGCGGGAGUCAGGCCGCGAGAGAUAAGUUCCGCGGUCAAAAGGGGAACACCCCAGAUCGUCUGCUAAGGUCCCCAAGUACGCGUUAAGUGGGAAAGGAUGUUGGAUUGCACAGACAACCAGGAUGUUGGCUUAGAAGCAGCCACACAUUCAAAGAGUGCGUAAUAGCUCACUGGUCGAGUGAUCCAGCGCCGAAAAUGUAACGGGGCUAAAACGCGACACCGAAGCAGCGGGAUGCGUAAGCAUCGGUAGAGGAGCAUUGUGUGAGGAUAGAAGCCAGAGCGGGAGCACUGGUGGACUUCACAGAAGAGAGAAUGCCGGUAUGAGUAGCGAGACCCAUGCGAGAAACAUGGGCGUCGAAGGCCCAAGGUUUCCUGGGGAAGGUUCAUCCACCCAGGGUAAGUCGGGACCUAAGCCGAGGACUGAGGUCGUAGGCGAUGGACAGCAGGUAGAGAUUCCUGCACCACUUACACUUGUUUGACGAAGCAGUGACACAGAAGGAUAGGACGAGCGCGGUGAUGGUCAACCGCGUAGGCGGCACGAGGCUGGGGAGCAGUAAAGUACACUUCCCGUGAAGGCUGAGUGCUGACAGGACCGAAAAAGAGUAGGGAAGCGUCUGAGUUCACGCUGGCGAGAAAAGCUGCUAAGGAGAGUGUGAGUGCCCGUACCGGAAACCGACGCAGGUGGGCGAGGAGAGAAUCCUGAGACGGACGGGAGAACUCUUGUUAAGGAACUCGGCAAAAUGACCCCGUAACUUCGGGAGAAGGGGUGCCUCGAAAGAGGCCGCAGAGAAUAGUCACAAGCGACUGUUUAGCAAAAACACAGGUAUCUGCGAAAGCGAGAGCUGACGUAUAGGUGCUGACGCCUGCCCGGUGCUGGAAGGUUAAGGGGAAGUGUUAGGGGAAACCCGAAGCAGAGAACCGAAGCCCCAGUAAACGGCGGCCGUAACUAUAACGGUCCUAAGGUAGCGAAAUUCCUUGUCGGGUAAGUUCCGACCCGCACGAAUGGCGUAACGACUUGUGAGCUGUCUCAACAGGAGGCCCGGUGAAAUUGAAGUAUGUGUGAAGAUGCACAUUACCCGCGACUGGACGGAAAGACCCCGUAGAGCUUUACUGUAACCUGACAUUGGAUCUUGAUAACGGAUGCACAGGAUAGGUGGGACGCUGGGAGGUAUGGACUUUGGUCUGUACGGAGCGGACGUUGGGAUACCACUCUUCUGUUAUUGAGAUUCUAACCUCAAGCCGUAAGCCGGAUGAGAGACAGUGUCAGGCGGACAGUUUGACUGGGGCGGUCGCCUCCGAAAGAGUAACGGAGGCGCCCAAAGGUACCCUCAGAAUGGAUGGAAACCAUUCGAAGAGAGCAAAGUCAGAAGGGUGCUUGACUGCGAGACCAACAAGUCGAGCAGGUACGAAAGUAGGGCUUAGUGAUCCGGCGGUA